rnacentral:rRNA from 1 species
AACGAACGCUGGCGGCAGGCCUAACACAUGCAAGUCGAACGCCCCGCAAGGGGAGUGGCAGACGGGUGAGUAACACGUGGGAACAUGCCCUUUGGUUUGGGAUAACUCAGGGAAACUUGAGCUAAUACCGGAUAAGCCCGAGAGGGGAAAGAUUUAUCGCCGAAGGAUUGGCCCGCGUCCGAUUAGCUAGUUGGUGAGGUAAUGGCUCACCAAGGCGACGAUCGGUAGCUGGUCUGAGAGGAUGAUCAGCCACACUGGGACUGAGACACGGCCCAGACUCCUACGGGAGGCAGCAGUGGGGAAUAUUGGACAAUGGGCGAAAGCCUGAUCCAGCAAUGCCGCGCGAGUGAUGAAGGCCUUCGGGUCGUAAAGGCUCUUUGUAAGGGAGAUAAUGACGGUACCUUACGAAUAAGCCCCGGCUAACUUCGUG